rnacentral:lncRNA from 1 species
GUUAGACCUCUACAUUGGCUGGUGGAAAGAACUGCACCAACAUUUGUUUUCAGCACCGGUGGGCUUCUUCUGUAAUCGGAUCGACUCCAAUUAUGAGCAUUCUGAUUCCGAGGUAACUUUUGUAACAACUUCACAUAUUUUCUUUUGCCAUGUCUUUCCUGUGGUCACUGACUUUUCUUUCUUUUGCAUCCAACCAUCGCAAUUCCCGCGGUCAGUAGAAGUGGCAAGCCAAUCGAAUACUCUUCAUCGGCUCUUCCCUCCCUAGGCUCCGGAGCGCCUUCCCCAAGCGAGUACAUCAAGAAGUUCUCGGGGCCACUACAAGAAAUAUGUCGUUUUUUGACGUAUUAAGUAUGACAAUAGGAUAUAAUGUCAUUAUAUCAUUCAUUUUAUGAUAUUAUGUAAUGGACAUUUCAACUUAAUGACAAUAAAAAAUCAAAUGUCACAACAAAUAUCAUAUAGGUAUUGCAAUGUCACCCGGUGACGAUAUUCGCUUGUCAUAAGGCCUAUUUUGUAAUGUCAUAAAUAUAUGACAAAGGUU